CUACGGGAGGCAGCAGUGGGGAAUCUUAGACAAUGGGGGCAACCCUGAUCUAGCCAUGCCGCGUGAGUGAUGAAGGCCUUCGGGUUGUAAAGCUCUUUCAGCUGGGAAGAUAAUGACGGUACCAGCAGAAGAAGCCCCGGCUAACUCCGUGCCAGCAGCCGCGGUAAUACGGAGGGGGCUAGCGUUGUUCGGAAUUACUGGGCGUAAAGCGCACGUAGGCGGACCAGCAAGUUAGGGGUGAAAUCCCGGGGCUCAACCCCGGAACUGCCCUUAAGACUGUUGAUCUGGAGUUCGAGAGAGGUGAGUGGAAUUCCGAGUGUAGAGGUGAAAUUCGUAGAUAUUCGGAGGAACACCAGUGGCGAAGGCGGCUCACUGGCUCGAUACUGACGCUGAGGUGCGAAAGCGUGGGGAGCAAACAGGAUUAGAAACCCUUGUAGUCC
rnacentral:rRNA from 1 species